UACGUAGGGUGCAAGCGUUAAUCGGAAUUACUGGGCGUAAAGCGUGCGCAGGCGGUCGUGUAAGUCAGAUGUGAAAUCCCCGGGCUCAACCUGGGAAUUGCAUUUGAGACUGCACGGCUAGAGUGUGUCAGAGGGGGGUAGAAUUCCACGUGUAGCAGUGAAAUGCGUAGAUAUGUGGAGGAAUACCGAUGGCGAAGGCAGCCCCCUGGGAUAACACUGACGCUCAUGCACGAAAGCGUGGGGAGCAAACAGG
rnacentral:rRNA from 1 species